rnacentral:lncRNA from 1 species
AAAGAUAUACAAUUUAGAGUCUAGUCCUACCUAUCAUACUAAAAAUGCACAGCAAAUUUUUCACAUCACACCACAAGACUUUAGUCAAGAGGACUAAGAAAAAUACUCAUAAUUGUAACUCAAAAACCAAAGGAAAAAGCAUGUAAUUUUUUUUUAAGAAAGCAAACAAAAACCAAAACAGAGAAAAACUAAAAACAAAACAAAGAAACAAAACAAAUAAAUGGUUCCCUCCCCCA